rnacentral:misc_RNA from 1 species
CUCUUCACCAAUUGACCAAGCAGC